CGGACGCGGUACCGGCCGGUCUCACCUGUGUCCAGCUGCGGCUGCAGAGACCGCAGAUUUCGGGGACGUCCCUCCUUUAUCCCACAACCACCGACGCGCCGACCCGAGUCCGCCCGGAGACCGCGGGAAGCUGGGCGUGACGAGCCCGCCGCGCGGGAGCCGCACGGACGCCACGGUCGCGCCGCGGGGUGAUGGCAGACGGAGCCCUCCUCACGGGCAUGAGGGAACAACGGCAUUUCGUGCAGCCCAAGGGAGAGGCAUGAGCUGCCACGGGUCCCUCGGCGAGAGGGACUUGAAGCGCGUUUAUCGUCGCAGACGGCAACGAUUUCAGUGGUUUGGGAGAGAAGAGACACUUCGGAUGUUAGUCACAAGACUCUCCUCAGGGUGCAGGAAGAGGCCUCUUCCUCAGGGCCCACCUCUGAGGGGCGGGAAACACGAGAGCCUCCCGGACACUCAGGGAGGCCAGAGACACCGGGCCUGAGGUUCCUCCCAAACCGUGGCGGGUCCACGGCCCCAGGGCUGCAGCCCACGGGAGGCUGUGAGGAAGGUCUGACAGGAACAGGACGCCACUACGGAAGCCCGCUCAGCCCAGGGCGCGCUGGCUGAACGCGCUACCUCGGGUGCAACAUUUAAAGAGACACUCACUUUCGAAGUCGAGCGGGCGAAGAAACGAGCGCUUUCGCAGCUCGUAAAGAGUGAGUGUCUCCUUAAAUUCCGUGCCUCGGUAUGGAAGCUCACCGCUCUCCCUCCUCCUCAGGUGAACCCUGAAGGAACAGAUGCGAGCGAAGGAGCCUCCUCGCAGGGUGCCUGGCAGAAAAUACAAUUGAUUUGGCCAAAACCUUCAAAUAGAUUUGGAAGACAUGGAUUAAAGAGUUAUGCAGUCAUUGUGUAACAUUUUGGGAAAAUCACCAACCCUUUAGAUGAAAAGUGCUUGGGCCAGGGAGCUGGUGGUGCCGACCAUGAAACGGGUUAAGCUGGUUGUCGCAGAUUGAGAGUUGAAGUAAUUGAAGAAUACAGAAUGAAUGGACGAAUGAAUGAAGGAAAUGAUCUAAUCAGGCUACAGAAGAAUAUUAAGUAUGCAGUUAUACCACCUAUUACUGAGUGCCUUCUGAGGGUCAGGACUUCUCACAAGAUACUCUGCAAGCAUCACUGUAUUUAAUUACACAACAGCCUAGUAAGUAGAUAUUUAUAUCUUAGUUUAACAGGAGAGGAAAAUGAGAU